CUUUAUUCUGUACAGAGAAAGCUUCUGAACACAAACUUAUGCAAAGCUGGGGCAGGGCGUUUUCAUUUGUAAGCAAUAAUGAGUUUUUUCAAUAUUGUUUUUGAUCUUUUAAAUUGGUUGUUUUAUAGUAAAUCGUGUUCUUUCUAUUCCCUUGUGUUUUUAUUGGUUGCUGAAAUUUGUGUUACUCUCUUGUAGGAAUUGAAUAAGCCCAUGUUGCCCACCUCAAGAUGGGGCACAGAGCACAGUGCUGAAAGGAGAUCUUCCAGCGUGGACUUGGUUGAGCACAGACAUUCCCCUUUGUCUCCUUCUCUUCCAUCUCCUCGUAGUCUACUGAAGAACAAUCCUAUUUUUUCUUCUGUCGCCUCUGAGGAUCGUAGCAACCGGCAACAAAUCCACGCCCCCGUCCCCUUCCGGCCGCUUCCGAUCAAGACCGGUCUAGAUCGUCUGUCUAUCCCGUGGUCACUCUCAGAAUCAACUGACUGGGUAACAUUAGCAGCCCGCGGCUCUGGUGUUGGUAGCGGGAUAGCGGUUCACCCAAGCCAGACCCCAAUUACCAGCUCAAACAUUUUGCAAUUCCCAAAACUGAUCUCAUCAAGCAGCGGCCUCCAGUCUCGCGCACAUGGCCCAACACCUAGUGGCCUGCGGUCCUGGUCCCGCAGAAACCUGUCAGAGCAUGCAGAGAGUAGAGAAAAGAGAGUGACAGAAGCCGUUACAGCGCCGCCCCAGUGGAAGGCCUCAGCAACGCAGCCAGAGAGGAUUUUUGUAGAGAAUCUGAGAGAGGAUGAAGAGGAAGCUCCGUUAGACCUGUCUGAGUCGGGACGUUCAAAAAGCAAAGAGAAAGAGAAAACACACUCUCAGAGCGAUGCAUCUUCAUCUUCAUCUUCCUCACCACCUGCUACACUUUCAUCGUCAUCUCAAUGCCCAUCAAGCCCUCAGAGUGACCAGCAGACAGCAGACAAUAACACACAGCAGGAGGAAGCACAGGAAACAUGUAAGGAGCAGAGAGAGGUAAAGGAAGGUGAAACAUCUCCAGCAGCUGAAACGUCUGUCAGCUCAGAGGAGAGGAAAAUCCCAGCACUAACCAUUUCCCUCCAGCCAGUUGUGGUUAUGGAGUCCCUUAAAACAAGACGACAGGUGUCUGAUCCUGGAAACAGACUGACGGAGCAAGAGGAGAAGGAGAACAAUAGCAUUGAAGCAAGCAGAAAAAGACCUGGACAGGAUACUGAUGCUCUUUCCCAGCGCUCACUAAAGGAGAUUAAAAUACGGCUGAGCAGGGGACAUCAAGGAACCCAUGCAGACUCAGAGCAAGGAUGAAGGCAACGGAUUUAACUAUUAUGUAUGAUCUGCUGUGGUUAUUCAGACAACCAUUUUGUUUUCACCCUUCACCACCAGUUUCCAAGUUCGAAUCGCUGGUGUUCGCUUUAGUUUUCCAGAAAAACCAACACUAGACUUCAGCCGCACGCACCUCUUAUCAACAUAAUUCUAGUGUAUCGAAUACAAUGCAUACUGCAGUGCAGACUGGAAUUAAAUAAGAUAUAUUUUUUUCGUGUUCAAGCUAUAUCAUUCAAACUGUAUGUGGAUGAAUUUGUGCUGGAUUAAUUUGUUAUUUUAUUGUGUCGAUUUCCCAGAAAUCUUUAGCGCUACCAAAACAGGAAGCUUCACUUUAUUCACUUUAUUCUUCCUCUUUUAUACCAUAUCAUGAGUUUUUAAUAAGCACAUAUAACAGGAGUACAUGCAAUUGCUUGCUGUCUUGUGUUGUUACCAUUCUGUCAUGUCAACACUCAGUUUGUGUUCAUUCUCUCUUCCGUGUAAGAGGUGUCGCAUCUCAUCUAUUUUUGUCUCUGAGCACUACAGCCUGCUUCUUGUAGAUGUGACAAAAUGAAAAACCCUCGGCUUCCCCUUUUGGUUUUUUUGAGAUGUCAAGCAUAUAUUUUGUAAUAGUGAAUUUUCCACUUGCAGCUGUAAAAGCUUUCAGAGUGUAAAAGGAGGAAGGGUAAAACUGUGAAGAAAAAAAAUAUAUAAUUUUUUUUUACUUUCUGUACCAUUGCUUCAAACUAGACGUAAACCUUUGCUUUGCACUAUUUUUUAGAUAGUUUUAGAGAUAAUUUGGAGAUAUUAUCUAACUAAAAGUCCUCACUUUUUAGACACUAGAAGGACAUAGCAACUACCUAACAACUAAUGUCUAUCUAAAUAAAUACAAAUAUAAGUGCAUUGCAUGAAAAGAUGGCUGUAGUCAUACUUUGUGAAUUAUCACCUGUAAUUGGGUUAGGAUGUGGGGAACACCUAUAUUGUUGCAGGAAGAGGGUAAAUAGUUUUCACUGUGAAGAACCUGAGAACAAUUAAGAAUUUUCACUUGAAUAUGCCAAUCACCACAACACUUAGCUUGUUACUUUUGUAUACUGAGCAAAGGUGUAUGAGUUUAAAGUUACAAAGGUAAAAAUCCAAAUAAAAACCCUUGGAUCAAGGUAUCACACUUGACUUUCUGUUAAUGUGAAUAUCUUCUCUCU
rnacentral:lncRNA from 1 species